rnacentral:rRNA from 1 species
AUGGCCGCCGCCGCCGCCGCCGCCUGCAGGUAUAUGUACCUGUGGCAACCCAACCCCAAACCCGGCCAUCUUCUACCACGACGGGCCAGCACCACACCGCCAUUCCAACACCCACGGCACGCCGUCGUUGCCUCGCCGUCGCGCUCUAGGAGUAAUAGGAUGGCCUGCCGGGGAGCAAACUCCGACGACGUGGCGGCCACGACGACGGCGCACUUCGUCUUCGUCCCGCUGAUGCACCACGGCCACCUGAUCCCGGCGGUGGACGCGGCGAUGCAGCUAGCCGCCCACGGCGCGCUCUCCAGCAUCGUCGUCACGCCGACCUACGCCGCGCGCCUCCGCCCCGCGGUCGAGUCGUCGGGCCUGCCGGUCCGGCUCAUGGAGCUCCCGCUCGACCUCGCCGGGACCGACGACGUCGACCGGAUCCCGCUAGACCAGGAGGCCACCUACCUCCUCGCCGCGUCGCGCCUUCGUGGGCCGCUGGAGCGCCACCUCCGCGCGCAUGCGCCGCCUGUCACGUGCGUCGUGUCCGACAUCUGUCACCCGUGGACCGCCGGCCUAGCCAUGAGCCUCGGCGUCCCGCGGCUCAGCUUCCUCGGCAUGUCCGCCUACUGCCUCCUCUGCCUGCAGACGGAGCACCACGCGGCGGCCAUGCACAACGCCUACGCCGCAGCGGACCCCUACUGGCACCUCAUGCCCGAGGAGCCGGUCGAGGUGAAGGUGCCCACCGCGCCCCCCGGGUUCAUGCGGCUGCCGGCGUCUGAGAAGCUGGCGUACGAGAAGCUGGCAUACGCCGUCGAGCGGGCGGGCGUCGACGUCGACGGCGUCCUCCUCAACACCUUCCUCGAGCUGGAGCCGGGGACGGUCGUGGACAGCGGGGAGGUCAGGAGCGUCAACGUGUGGGCCGUCGGUCCGGUGUCGCUGUUCCACCAGCACGAGCACCAGCACUCGGCGGCGCUUGCGGCGAGAGGGAACGCGCCCGCCGUCGACGCCGACGAGUGCCUCCGAUGGCUCGACGGUAAGGAGCCGUCCUCCGUCGUCUACGUCAGCUUCGGGAGCAGCGUCGUGCACGCGCGCCCAGAGCAGGUGGUGGAGACCGGGCUUGGCCUUGAGGCGUCGGGGCACCCGUUCAUCUGGGUGGUAUCACCGGAGAACGCCGGGCAGGACGAGGACGAGGAGGUCCGCAGGUUCCUUGAGGAGCUGGAGGGCCGGUUGUCCGGCCGCGGCCUGCUGAUCAAGGGCUGGGCACCGCAGCAGCUGAUCUUGUCCCACGCGUCGGUGGGUGGCAUCGUGACGCACUGCGGGUGGAACUCGAUGAUGGAGGCGGUCGCGGCGGGGCUCCCGGUGGCGACAUGGCCGCAUAUGGCGCACCAGUUCCUGAACGAAAUGUUGGCCGUGCAGUCGAUGGGGACCGGCGUGAGCGUCGGGGUGGAGUGGUUGAAGGAGGAGGACGGGGAGGUGGCGGUGGUGGAGCGAGGGGCGGUGGAGAAGGCGGUGAGGAGCAUCAUGGGCGGAGGAGACGAGGCGGUGGAGAGGCGGGGGAGGGCGGCGGCGCUCGCGACGACGGCGAGAGAGGCCGUCCGGGAGGGCGGAUCAGCGUUCAUCAACCUGCGUCGUUUGGUGAAACGUUACCAAGCAGCGACGCCGCAGGAUGCAUCAACAUCACCUCAAAUAUGA